UUUUUUUCUUCUAAAAUAAAACCUACAAUUAAUAUGUAAUUAUGUAAAAAAUUGCCUUUAAUUGGUAAAUAGUUUUCCUAACUACAAGACUUUGGUAAAAAACUCUUUGCCUUUGACCCACAAAUGCCCCUUCAAUUCUGCACCGCUUCAUCGUCGACGUUAAUCUCUCUCUCUCUCUCUCUCUCUCUCUCUCUCUCUCUCUCUCAACGAAACUAUGAAACCGGUAGAUGCCCGCUUGCUUCUUCCUUCAAUAAGCCCUAAAAUCACACCAUCGCCUACUUCCGCUAAUACAGUCGUACGCGCCGGUUGGGCGACGAUGGCGGUUCAACCGGACGACGUUGAGCUAGGUGGUCGGACAAUAUGUUAACGAUGGUGAGCCGCACACGGAUUCCCAUGCUGGUGAGCCUUACCCAAAUCGAUUUAACCUGCUCGUCUUUCUGUUCGUCACCGCUCUCUCGGCCAGUAGGAAACCGGCUUACUGAACCCUCAUCUACCAUCAUAAACGGAAGCACCGAAGCAGCUAUUCAAUAGUGGAGGAAUUAGCAGGAUUCGGUGCAUCAAUACAUAUGUGUUCCAGAAAUCAAAAAGAGAUCAAUGAAAGGCUGGUUGGAAUGGACGGGAACCGGAUAAAAGAACUCUUGGAAAGUGAGUUCAUUUGUUCUACAUCUUCUUUUUUCUUCAAGUUUCUUUUUAGUUUUGAAUUUGGCAAGAUUUGUUUUGAAUAUGCUCUCCAUUUGAACGAUUUUAGCGCAUUAGAAUUUCACAAGGUAUACAAAUAAAAAUGUCAAGAAUUGCUUGCAUGCAUGUUUCAUUUUAAUUUUAUAAAUCAU